rnacentral:rRNA from 1 species
AGCGAACGCUGGCGGCAGGCCUAACACAUGCAAGUCGAACGAAGUCUUCGGACUUAGUGGCGGACGGGUGAGUAACACGUGGGAACGUACCUUUUGGUUCGGAACAACUCAGGGAAACUUGAGCUAAUACCGGAUGAGCCGUUAGGGGGAAAGAUUUAUCGCCGAAAGAGCGGCCCGCGUUAGAUUAGCUAGUCGGUGAGGUAAAGGCUCACCAAGGCUACGAUCUAUAGCUGGUCUGAGAGGAUGAUCAGCCACACUGGGACUGAGACACGGCCCAGACUCCUACGGGAGGCAGCAGUGGGGAAUCUUGCGCAAUGGGCGAAAGCCUGACGCAGCCAUGCCGCGUGAAUGAUGAAGGUCUUAGGAUUGUAAAAUUCUUUUACCAGGGACGAUAAUGACGGUACCUGGAGAAAAAGCCCCGGCUAACUUCGUGCCAGCCGCCGCCGUAA